GGCGGCGUAGCCAAGUGGUAAGGCCGAGGUCUGCAAAACCUCUACCCCCAGUUCGAAUCUGGGCGCCGCCUCCA
rnacentral:tRNA from 1 species